rnacentral:lncRNA from 1 species
AGAGGACACUUGCCUUCACCAAACAAAUGCUCAGGGUCUUCAUCCUCGUAGAACUCGAAGAGUUCGAUCACUUGGUCACCAACGCUUGAUCUUCGAUUCCUCGAAGCUCAGGAAUAGAUCGCAAUCUAUCUGCGACGCAAAGCGAAGAUAAACAGACACAAGCAAACAAACAUAUAUAUAUGCAUAAGAACAUUACACCAUACAAGAUAAAACAUUAUGGAAACGAGGAAUAUAAAAUAGAGAGCGCUUCUACGGUUACGCGAGGAUAAGAAACACGACGGUCAAGCUACAGUCGAGAAGUUAUCGCGUUUAUGUUAAACAGAUAUUAACUAUAAUGUUUAAUUCGACAAUAUCAAAUAUAAAUAAUAUCUACUAUUUAGUUUGAUUAAUCUGUUACACUGACAACUGUCAAAUAAAUAAGUAAUUUAAUUAACACAAGGGAUUCUAAGCGUGAUGAAUUUAUGACAAGCGAAAUAACACUACAGCGUGCAAACGACGCGUGGACACGCGCGACAUAGCACGCUGGCGACACACGAAACAGAGCGCGCGACGAGCGCGAACGAGCACGCCACCACGUGCGGAACAGCACACACGAUAGGUGAGAAAACUAAAUAGGUGACACGUUUAUACUAAACAAAUGUUAAAUAAAUAGAAAGGAGUUAAGUUAAUAUUUGUCAUGUCAAUAUUUAUUAUAAAAGCACAAGUGGAGCACCACCCAUUUAAUCUAAUUGGAAUAUUAAUCUAAUAAAUAUUAGUCGAGCAAACCCUAAGUUGAUUAUCUAACAUAUAUAACCUGAAGAAUUAACUUAUUAACAUGAGUGAUUAUAAGCGAAAACAAUUUAUUAUCACGAGCCGACGCCGCUCGACCCGCGGGAUCGACACGCGAGGUACACGCUAACGACGCACGGCAAGGCAAGCGACACGUGUAAAUGGCACACGCGACGCAUGCACACAACGUGUGACAACACAUGCGAAUAGCACGCGCGACACACGCGAACGACGCGUGACAACGCGUACGAACAGCACGCGGACGACGCGACGACGCGUGCGACAUGUAAUAAUCGCUAACAAAUAAUGUGUUUAUAAUAAACAAGUAUUAAAUGAAAAAUGUUUAAAUUGGUAUUAAUCAAGUUAACAUUUAUUUAUAAAAGCGCGAGUUAAAAACUAUAACAUAGUUUUAAUUAGAAGAUCAUUUUAAUAAGUAUCGAAUUAAUAGCUAAUUAAAUAACAUAGACUUGUGACAUGAUGAUAUAAUAUUAUUAAUAUGUUGACGAUAUUGUUAUGAAAUUAACGUAACGCGACAGGGGGUCGUAACAGAUUUAAUAAUGCGCGCGACUGCACGAAACAGAGUAAACGAUGAGCGCGAACGACACGCGGAUUAGCACGUAACCACGUGCAAAAUCGCGCGUGCGAUACGCGAGAUAAACUAAAUAAAAGUCACAUUUAUAUUAAAUGAACAUUAGGGCAAAACGUUUGAGUUACUAUUAAUUACAUUGACAUGGAUUUAUAAAGUGUAAGUUAACUACUAUAAAUUAGUUUAAUUAAAAGAUCUAAUUAAUUAACAUUAGUUAAACAAAAGUAUAAUUAAUUAUUUCAAACGUGUGACAUGGUGAAACAAGAUUACUAACGCGUAGCCGAUGCUCACUCCGCGACGACGACAGACGGCCGGACGAGCUCGUGGCGAAGCACAAGGAUGGCGAGGCUGCUGCUACGCCGGAGCCGCAUAGGGAUGCCGACCGAGCACGAGCGCUGUGCUAGCCGAGCCGGAUGUGCCGGGGUCGCACACGUAGACCGCGCCAUGGGCUCGCGUCGGGAUUGGGCUAGCGGGGUGAUGCGCAGACCGCGCAGAGCGCGGGCAGGACUGCGCUGGCCACGCGACACGAACAAUGGCGGGGCGAGGGAUGGCGAUGAAGCUUCUCCUCGCGGCACCGGCGCACGAAAGGCGAGGGCGAGGCUUGACACAGCGUCGGCGAGCGCGGACAUAAAGGUAGGCACGAAUCUCACCUCGGACGGAAGCUCGACGAAGAUGGUCGCGGCGGGGCUAGCAGCAGCGCUGGUCCGAUCGGCUGCGCGGCAUUCCAAUCGCCGAAACGCGCCUGCAGAGGCCUGAGCAGCACAAGCCAGCGGCGUGGACGCGGCACACCUGCACGCAGAGCCCUGGGAACGGCGCAGCGGGUAUGCGCCAGAGAAAAAAAAGGCGAGAUGAGGGAGAGAGAGAAGGGAGAAGUGGAGUAGUGCAGGCGUGGCACGUUUGGCGGAGGGAGGAUGGAGCAGUUCGCGCAUGCAUGCAGGGAGCUGAG